UACGUAGGGUGCGAGCGUUGUCCGGAAUUACUGGGCGUAAAGAGCUCGUAGGUGGUUUGUCGCGUUGUCCGUGAAAACUCACAACUCAAUUGUGGGCGUGCGGGCGAUACGGGCAGACUGGAGUACUGCAGGGGAGACUGGAAUUCCUGGUGUAGCGGUGGAAUGCGCAGAUAUCAGGAGGAACACCGGUGGCGAAGGCGCACAUCUGGCCCGAUACUGACGCUGAGGCGCGAAAGCUAGGGGAGCAAACGGG
rnacentral:rRNA from 1 species